AUACUUGCCUGGUGCCGGGUUUCCGAUGAUCAUUGAGGUCGGUGCCCCGUGUCGAGGCCUUACCAUUGCACUGCGGUUUGCUGAAGCACGCCACAACCCCAAAACUGGGGCACAUGGGGCAUUAAUUUUUGGUAGUGGGGCUUCGCCUACGCGCCAGCCCCUU